rnacentral:rRNA from 1 species
CAGCAGCAGCCACGGUAAUACGGAGGGUGCAAGCGUUAUCCGGAUUUAUUGGGUUUAAAGGGUCCGUAGGCGGACUUAUAAGUCAGUGGUGAAAGCCUGUCGCUUAACGAUAGAACUGCCAUUGAUACUGUAAGUCUUGAGUAUAUUUGAGGUAGCUGGAAUAAGUAGUGUAGCGGUGAAAUGCAUAGAUAUUACUUAGAACACCAAUUGCGAAGGCAGGUUACCAAGAUAUAACUGACGCUGAGGGACGAAAGCGUGGGUAGCGAACAGGAUUAGAUACCCCUGUAGUCCCUGUCUCUUAUAC